UAAGGGCACAGGGAUUUCAGGCAUGUGCCGCCAUGUCUGGCUUUCCUGUGGCUUCU
ensembl:miRNA